rnacentral:sRNA from 1 species
UGUGGUCGAAAUUUUUAGUCUUUCUUCGUCGCAGUGCAUAUAAGAAAUUCAAGUUUUUUUUUGUUUUUGCAAAUUUCUGUGGAAAUUGAUAAAUAAACUGCGCAAUUACUCUGAUGGUUUUGUAUUCUCUAAUCGAACUCAUAAAACGCAAAAAGGUUAAAAAUACGCUCUGUAUGAAAAAUAUAAAAAAUAUAUCUCCAUAAUUUGCUGGGAUUUGGAGCCAGUUAAGAUUCCAAUUGAAAACACACUUGGAUAGCUUAAAAAGAAAAGAAAAGAAAAAGAAAACACCGGAGAAGAGGCGUGAUGGGCCCCAUUAAAAACACUGAGCAUUAAUAGCCGGAGGACGUUGAUAUUUGACUUUGAUCUGCAACUGUUUAGACUUUUAAUAUAUCUGUUUUUGUCCUCAAAGCUUUGGAAGCAUUGUCUGAUUAGAGUUUUUUUUUUCGGGCAACCUAUAGAAUCACUUAUGAAAUUAGUGUAAUUGUGACUACUUUUUAUUCAGCAAGAUUCGUGUAUAAUAUAAUAAGGGAAACAAAUAAAGUUAGUGAAUAAGUAAAUACAUAGUAGUACUUCAAUAAUCUGUGGAGAAACUCAAUGUAUCAUAACUUAAUGAAUAAUUGCUUGGUCCCUGUGGCACACUCGCUAUCUAAUUUCCUCACGUUAUUUCUAGAUAAGUGUCAUUUAGAACCCAUAAAUCAAACACAUCUUUGCA